rnacentral:RNase_P_RNA from 1 species
ACUGCAAACCGGGUUAUCGCUUCCUGGAAAACAGGAAGAGGAAAGUCCGGACAGCAAAGAGCAACACACCGGUUAAUUGCCGGUCCCGGUACUUAUACUUCGGCAAGCUCAGUACAAGUAUCGGGAAGAAAGUGCCACAGAAAAUAACCGCCCUGGUAAUUUUAAUUGCCAGGGUAAGGGUGAAAAAGUGAGGUAAGAGCUCACGCCCCGAGGUGGUAACAAAUCGGGAGGGUAAACCUUGUGUGCUGCAAUGCCACGUAUAUCAACGCUUCGGUUCAAAACCGGAAAAGAGCGGCUCGUUCAAAGUUGAAGGGUAGGCAGCAAGAUUGUUGCAGUAAUGUAACAGCAAGAUAAAUGAUAGCCACCUCUCCUAAGCUUGUCGAAGGAGGGGGACAGAAUCCGGCUUACAGGUUUGCAGUAAAU